rnacentral:rRNA from 1 species
GAUGAACGCUAGCUACAGGCUUAACACAUGCAAGGUCGGGGGGCAGGCGGGGCGGUAGCUUGCUACCGCCGCCGGCGACCGGCGCACGGGUGAGUAACGCGUAUCCAACCUUCCCCACAGUAGGGAAUAGCCCGGCGAAAGUCGGAUUAAUGCCCUAUGCAGUCCUUCGAGAGCAUUUGAGAAGGACUAAAGAUUCAUCGCUGUGGGAUGGGGAUGCGUCUGAUUAGGCAGCAGGCGGGGUAACGGCCCACCUGGCCGACGAUCAGUAGGGGUUCUGAGAGGAAGGUCCCCCACAUUGGAACUGAGACACGGUCCAAACUCC